rnacentral:rRNA from 1 species
AUUGAACGCUGGCGGCAGGCCUAACACAUGCAAGUCGAACGGUAACAGGAAACAGCUUGCUGUUUCGCUGACGAGUGGCGGACGGGUGAGUAAUGUCUGGGAAACUGCCUGAUGGAGGGGGAUAACUACUGGAAACGGUAGCUAAUACCGCAUAACGUCGCAAGACCAAAGAGGGGGACCCUCGGGCCUCUUGCCAUCGGAUGUGCCCAGAUGGGAUUAGCUUGUUGGUGGGGUAACGGCUCACCAAGGCGACGAACCCUAGCUGGUCUGAGAGGAUGACCAGCCACACUGGAACUGAGACACGGUCCAGACUCCUACGGGAGGCAGCAGUGGGGAAUAUUGCACAAUGGGCGCAAGCCUGAUGCAGCCAUGCCGCGUGUAUGAAGAAGGCCUUCGGGUUGUAAAGUACUUUCAGCGGGGAGGAAGGGAGUAAAGUUAAUACCUUUGCUCAUUGACGUUACCCGCAGAAGAAGCACCGGCUAACUCCGUG